CGGUGACUCAAGGAAAAAUAAGUUUGAGAGUUCGGAGAUGAAAAACUUUCUGGGAUAAACAAGUUCUUCUCUUUUCUCAGAGCAUCCCGCUCCUUUUAUCAAGCCACCUAGGUAGAUUCUUGAAUCCACCUCCUGGAAAGGAGGCAUAAACCUGCUGCCUGAGCUGUCUUAAGAGCUUGAUCAAGCAGUGAGGUAAGUGCCUUUUACUACAUGGAAACUACAAGGUCAGAAGGGGAAAAAGUACUGAGAAGAUGGUGAUUAUGAGCAUUAAUCAUAAUAAUAUCGAGUUCUUGUGUAGCACUUUUCAUCAGGAGAUUUUAAAGCACUGUACAAAAGAGAUGAGUCUCAUUAUCUCCAUAUUUUAGAUCUAAAAUGUGACCUCUGCUACCUUAAGGCUGUUUUUCACAGGUAAAAAAGGCUUCUGGAAUCAACAGUUCUUUUUUGCUGUUAAAUUUCUAAUCAUCACAAUGAAGAUUUUUGAAUUCUACUUGUUUCUGUGUUCUCUGCAAUGGAAUUUUAAUUGUUUUGCUUACAGCCCAGGAUAUCAUGAAUGAAUAAAUGUGAUUUUUAUCAGCACACUGACAUCCGCUGAUUGAACUGACAUGUUAGCAUUCUCAGGGUAUAUUCUGACAAUUAUUUUAACACGUCCAAUUAUGUUGAGAAAUGGUAACUGAUUAUAUUGGUGUUGCAAUGCACGAUGAAAUGGAUCAGAGUAAACCACUCUCAAGGAGGGCUUAAAUGAAUCCUCUUCUUUUUCAUUUGCAGAGGACUGAUGGAUGGACCUUUUAGAGCAUCCAGUUGAGAGCAUGCUAUCUAGCAGCAGAGAGAAGGUCAGUAUUGAGUGCUGAUGUGAACAUCGACUUUUGAAGAAGCUGCUUCUAGCGCAAAGCUUGCCUCUCUCCUUCCUAAGGAAAGACUUGAGAUAUAAACCACAAAAGGGAAAAAAGAAGCGAAGCUACUGGAAGAUGCUAUGUUUCAGGGAAUGGCUUGUCUUUCUACCAAGACGAAUUGAUGAAAACACGAAUGUGAUUAGAAGUACAGUGCCCACAGAUUUCAUGUUCCUUCUCUCCCUCGAGGACCAGGGUGUUGCAUCCGAUGGCAGUAAGUUGUUCUCCGUGUGUGGCACCACAGUGUGAUAAGAGAGCAAUGUCAGAUUUCCUGCAGCAGUGUCCCUGACCACAGCACUGCUU
rnacentral:lncRNA from 1 species